UACGUAGGGUGCGAGCGUUGCCCGGAUUUAUUGGGCGUAAAGGGCGCGUAGGCGGCUCGGCACGUCCGUUGUGAAAUCGCCCGGCUCAACUGGGCGGGGUCAGCGGAUACGGCCGAGCUUGAGCAAGCUAGGGGGCAAUGGAAUUCCCGGUGUAGUGGUGGAAUGCGUAGAUAUCGGGAGGAACACCAGUGGCGAAGGCAGCUCGCUGGGACGGUAUUGACGCUGAGGCGCGAAAGCGUGGGGAGCAAACAGG
rnacentral:rRNA from 1 species